rnacentral:misc_RNA from 1 species
UCCGGUUUGACACCGGCAGUCUCCCUAGAGUGCCCGGCUUUACCCGCUGGUAACUAGGGACAAGGGUUGCGCUCGUUGCGGGACUUAACCCAACAUCUCACGACACGAGCUGACGACAGCCAUGCAGCACCUGUGCACGGACUCCGAAGAGGGGCCGAUGUUUCCACCGGCUUUCCCGUGCAUGUCAAGCCCAGGUAAGGUGGGGAUGACGUCAGUGCUUGCC